AUUGAACGCUGGCGGCAUGCCUUACACAUGCAAGUCGAACGGUAACAGGUUAAGCUGACGAGUGGCGAACGGGUGAGUAAUGUAUCGGAACGUGCCCAGUCGUGGGGGAUAACUGCUCGAAAGAGCAGCUAAUACCGCAUACGACCUGAGGGUGAAAGCGGGGGAUCGCAAGACCUCGCGCGAUUGGAGCGGCCGAUAUCAGAUUAGGUAGUUGGUGAGGUAAAGGCUCACCAAGCCGACGAUCUGUAGCUGGUCUGAGAGGACGACCAGCCACACUGGGACUGAGACACGGCCCAGACUCCUACGGGAGGCAGCAGUGGGGAAUUUUGGACAAUGGGCGAAAGCCUGAUCCAGCCAUGCCGCGUGCGGGAAGAAGGCCUUCGGGUUGUAAACCGCUUUUGUCAGGGAAGAAAAGGUUCUGGCUAAUACCUGGGACUCAUGACGGUACCUGAAGAAUAAGCACCGGCUAACUACGUG
rnacentral:rRNA from 1 species